GUUGUAUGGUUAAGUGACUAAGCGUACACGGUGGAUGCCUUGGCAGUUGGAGGCGAUGAAGGACGUAUUAACUUGCGAUAAGCCUAGUCAAGCUAGUAAAAAGCGCUUGAGACUAGGAUUUCCGAAUGGGGAAACCCACCUGCUUGCAGGUAUCUUGCACUGAAUACAUAGGUGUAAGAGGCGAACGCGGAGAACUGAAACAUCUAAGUACCCGCAGGAACAGAAAUCAACCGAGAUUCCGGAAGUAGCGGCGAGCGAAACCGGAACAGCCCUUAAGCUUAUUAUGUGUUAGUGGAACAUUCUGGAAAGUUUGACGAUACAGGGUGAUAGUCCCGUACACGAAAAUGCAUCUUAAGUGAAAUCGAGUAGGUCGGAGCACGUGAAACUUUGACUGAAUAUAGGUGGACCAUCAUCUAAGGCUAAAUACUCCCAACUGACCGAUAGUGAACCAGUACCGUGAGGGAAAGGCGAAAAGAACCCCUGUGAGGGGAGUGAAAUAGAACCUGAAACCGUGUACGUACAAGCAGUAGGAGCCCACUAGUUGGGUGACUGCGUACCUUUUGUAUAAUGGGUCAGCGACUUAUAUUUUGUAGCGAGGUUAACCGAUUAGGGUAGCCGUAGGGAAACCGAGUCUUAACUGGGCGUAUAGUUGCAAGGUAUAGACCCGAAACCCGGUGAUCUAGCCAUGGGCAGGUUGAAGGUUGAGUAACAUCAACUGGAGGACCGAACCCACUAACGUUGAAA
rnacentral:rRNA from 1 species